rnacentral:rRNA from 1 species
GCCCAGCACCGAAUCCUUCACCAUUUUGGGUGACAGGAAAUGUGGUGUUUAGGCCGUACCUUGUCCCGACACGUCUCUCCUCAAGUCCACUUGAUUGUGGCCCCAGGCCCAGAGAGGGUGUAAGGCCCGUGGAGGCGAGAUGUUCGGUACCUGGUGCGUCCUUAGAGUCGGGUUGUUUGGGAAUGCAGCCCUAAGCGGGUGGUAAACUCCAUCCAAGGCUAAAUACUAGCACGAGUCCGAUAGCGAAGAAGUACCGCGAGGGAAGGUUGAAAAGAACUUUGAAGAGAGAGUUCAAGAGUACGUGAAACCGCUGAGAGGCAAACUGGUGGAACUGAAAUGGUCCCGAGGAAUUCAGCCGUUGGAGGUUGCACAGUCGGUGGUGAUUGAUUUAACGACAGCGCCAUCGGAUGACGUUUCCAUCAUCGGUGCACUUUCCUCGUUUGGGCCCGACCACGACCGGUGAGUUGAUCUGUCUGUCGUGCUUGGAAGAUAGCGCCAUCUUCGGAAGGCGUGUUAUAGACUUGCAUACGGUACAGUCGACGCACUGGAUGAAAAUGCCUGCCCAUUUGGGCUCAUAUGGCGGCUGUUUUAUCGUCGAGUGCCGAUGUCACUACUUCGGUAGAGUCGUUGGCCUCUGAUGGCAUUAUGGUUGUCCUCUAUGAUUGGCAUUGUUAAGUCUGUGGUUGUGAAGUAGGUAGUCCACCUGACCCGUCUUGAAACACGGACCAAGGAGUCUAACAUGUGCGCGAGUCAUUGGGUUCACGAAACCUAAAGGCGCAGUGAAGGUAAAGAUCUGUUUUGGCAGAUUGAGGUGGGAUGCUGGGUUACGCGCCCAGCCGCACUACCGGCCCGUUCUAUAUGUAUCUCAUAGGAGCGGAGCAAGAGCGUACACGUUGGGACCCGAAAGAUGGUGAACUAUGCUUGCGCAGGU